rnacentral:rRNA from 1 species
GAUGAACGCUAGCGGCAGGCUUAAUACAUGCAAGUCGAGGGGCAGCGCGGGUAGCAAUACUUGGCGGCGACCGGCAAACGGGUGCGGAACACGUACGCAACCUUCCCAUAACUGGUGAAUAGCCUUUCGAAAGAGAGAUUAAUACACCGUAACAUAACGAAGAGGCAUCUCUUUGUUAUUAUAGGCUUCGGCCGGUUUUGGAUGGGCGUGCGCCUGAUUAGGUAGUUGGCGGGGUAACGGCCCACCAAGCCUGCGAUCAGUAACUGGUGUGAGAGCACGACCAGUCACACGGGCACUGAGACACGGGCCCGACUCCUACGGGAGGCAGCAGUAAGGAAUAUUGGUCAAUGGACGCAAGUCUGAACCAGCCAUGCCGCGUGAAGGAUGAAGGUCCUCUGGAUUGUAAACUUCUUUUAUCUGGGACGAAAAAGCUCUUUCUAGAGCACUUGACGGUGCCAGAGGAAUAAGCACCGGCUAACUCCGUGCCAGCAGCCGCGGUAAAG